UGAGCUCUCGGUACGGCCCUUGCUAUGGACGCCUUAAAUCUUCGACUUCCUCUUCUAGUUUCCUCUUUUUCAGCAGUAUAUCCUGGAACAUCCGGUGGAACCACCGACACUCGUCCUCUGACUCUCGAAGCCUCCUCCUCAGGACCUCAGACUCUGCCUCGACAUCCUUGAUUGCCUGCUGCUCGUGGACUAGCUAAAUCUUCAGCCGCUGCAGUUUGACCUCUCCCCGCCCA
rnacentral:lncRNA from 1 species